UACGAAGGGGGCUAGCGUUGCUCGGGAAUCACUGGGCGUAAAGGGUGCGUAGGCGGGUCUUUAAGUCAGGGGUGAAAUCCUGGAGCUCAACUCCAGAACUGCCUUUGAUACUGAGGAUCUUGAGUACGGGAGAGGUGAGUGGAACUGCGAGUGUAGAGGUGAAAUUCGUAGAUAUUCGGAAGAACACCAGUGGCGAAGGCGGCUCACUGGUCCGGUACUGACGCUGAGGUGCGAAAGCGUGGGGAGCAAACAGG
rnacentral:rRNA from 1 species